AGUGGGGUAGCUGGACCAAAUGGUGGUUCCAUUCCAAGUUUUCUGAGGAAUCUCCAUACUGCUUUCCAGAUUGGUUGCACCAAUUUGCAGUCCCACCAGUAAU
rnacentral:pre_miRNA from 1 species